UUAAGGAAUUGACGGGGAGCACCACAACGGGUGGAGCUUGCGGUUUAAUUGGAUUCAACGCCGGAAAUCUUACCGGGACCGACAGCAAUAUGAAGGCCAGGCUGGAGACUUUGCCGGAUUAGCUGAGAGGUGGUGCAUGGCCGUCGUCAGUUCGUACUGUGAAGCAUCCUGUUAAGUCAGGCAACGAGCGAGACCCACGCCCACAGUUGCCAGCGUACUCUCUGGAGUGACGGGUACACUGUGGGGACCGCCGCUGCUAAAGCGGAGGAAGGAAUGGGCAACGGUAGGUCAGUAUGCCCCGAAUAUCCCGGGCUACACGCGAGCUACAAUGGUUGGUACAAUGGGUAUCUACCCCGAAAGGGGACGGGAAUCUCCUAAAACCAAUCUUAGUUCGGAUUGAGGGCUGCAACUCGCCCUCAUGAAGCUGGAAUCCGUAGUAAUCGCGUUUCAACAGAACGCGGUGAAUACGUCCCUGCUCCUU
rnacentral:rRNA from 1 species